CCUUGAAUUGCCUUGCCUUUAUUUGCUCUGCCUUGAUUUGCCUUGCCUAAAUUUGCCUUGCCUGGAUUUGCCUUUCCUUGCCUUUCAUUGCCUGGAUUUCCCUUGCCUGGAUUUGCAUUGCCUGGAUUUGCGUUGCCUGGAUUUGCAUGGCCUGGAUUUUGCUUGCCUGGAUUCGCCUUGGGUUGCCUGAAUUUGCCUAGCCUCGAUUUGCCUUACCUUCCCUUGCCUGGAUUUGCCUUGUCUUGUAGUACUUGGAUUUGCCUUGCCUUGCCUUGCCUGGAUUUUUCUUGCCUGGAUUUGCCAUGCCUUGCCUUGCCUUGCCUGUAUUUGCCUUGUUUUGUCUUACCUGGAUUUGUCUUGCCUGGGUUUGCCAUUCCUUGUAUUGCCUGCAUUUGCCUUGCCUGGAUUUGGCUUGCUUUGCCUUACCUGGAUUUGCCUAGCCUGAAUAUGCCUGAAACUGCCUUGCCUCGCCUCGAUUUGUCUUGCAUGGAUUUGCCUUGCAUUUUUUGCCUGGAUUUGCCUUGCCUUGCCUUGUCUUGCCUGGAUUUCCCUUUCCUGGAUUCGCCUUGUCUUGCCUUGUCUGGGGUGGCCUUACAUUUCCUUACCUGGAUUUGCCUUGCCUGGCCUUGCCUGGAUUGGCCUUGCCUUUAUUUGCCUUGCCUUGUUUUUCCUGGAUUUGCCUCGACUGGAUUUGUUUUACCUUGCCUAGUCUGGAUUUGCCUUGCCUUGAUUUACCUUGACCCGCCUUGCCUGAAUGUGCCUUGUCGUUAUUUGCCUUGACUUGCACUGCCUGGAUUUGCAGUGCCUGGAUUUGGCUUGUUUUGCCUUGCCUGGAUUUGCCUUGCAUUGCAGUUCCUGGAUUUUCCUUGCUUUUCCUUGCCUGGAUUUGGCUUGCCUUGCCUAGUUUUGCCUUUCCUGGAUUAGCCUUGCCUUGCCUUGCCUUGCCUGGAUUUGACUUGCCUUGCCUUGCCCUUCCUAAAUUUGCCUUGUCUGGAUUUGCCUUGAAUUACCUAGCCUGGAU
rnacentral:lncRNA from 13 species